rnacentral:tRNA from 1 species
GGUCCCGUAGUUCAAUGGAUAGAAUGCCAGAUUCCGGUUCUGGUGGUUGUGGGUUCGAAUCCCGCCGGGAUCA